GAUGAACGCUGGCGGCGUGCCUAAUACAUGCAAGUCGAGCGAACAGACGAGGAGCUUGCUCCUCUGACGUUAGCGGCGGACGGGUGAGUAACACGUGGCUCACCUACCUUUAAGACUGGAAUAACUUCGAGAAACCGGAGCUAAUACCGGAUAAUAUAUUGAACCGCAUGGUUCAAUAGUUAAAGACGGUUUUUCUUUCACUUAUAGAUGGAUCCGCGCCGCAUUAGCUAGUUGGUAAGGUAACGGCUUACCAAGGCAACGAUGCGUAGCCGACCUGAGAGGGUGAUCGGCCACACUGGAACUGAGACACGGUCCAGACUCCUACGGGAGGCAGCAGUAGGGAAUCUUCCGCAAUGGGCGAAAGCCUGACGGAGCAACGCCGCGUGAGUGAUGAAGGUCUUCGGAUCGUAAAACUCUGUUAUUAGGGAAGAACAAAUGUGUAAGUAACUAUGCACGUCUUGACGGUACCUAAUCAGAAAGCCACGGCUAACUACGUG
rnacentral:rRNA from 1 species